UGGCCAAGCUGGUUAAGGCGUGCGACUGUUAAUCGCAAGAUCGUGAGUUCAAUCCUCAC
rnacentral:tRNA from 1 species